AGCGAACGCUGGCGGCGUGCUUAACACAUGCAAGUCGAACGUGAAAGGGGGCAACCCCUAGUAAAGUGGCGUACGGGUGAGUAACGCGUGGGUAAUCUACCCUAGAGUCUGGAAUAACCUGCCGAAAGGCGGGCUAAUACUGGAUAGAGCGAAGAAUCCGUAAUUGGGUUUUUCGGGAAAGGGAGCUCGCAAGAGCCCUUGCUUUAGGAUGAGCCUGCGUCCCAUUAGCUAGUUGGUGGGGUAAAAGCCUACCAAGGCGAUGAUGGGUAGCUGGUCUGAGAGGAUGAUCAGCCACACUGGAACUGAAACACGGUCCAGACUCCUACGGGAGGCAGCAGUGGGGAAUCUUGCGCAAUGGACGAAAGUCUGACGCAGCCACGCCGCGUGAGUGAAGAAGGCCUUCGGGUUGUAAAGCUCUGUCGAGCGGG
rnacentral:rRNA from 1 species